rnacentral:rRNA from 1 species
AUUGGAGGGCAAGUCUGGUGCCAGCAGCCGCGGUAAUUCCAGCUCCAAUAGCGUAUAUUAAAGUUGUUGCGGUUAAAAAGCUCGUAGUUGGAGUUGAGUUGCGGACUGGGUUGGGAGGUCACCGCCCGGUGCUUCCCCUCUAGGCUCCGAACAGCUCCCCUUGACGGGGGGCGUUGCCGGCUGUUGCGGGGUGCUCUUGACCGAGUGUCCCGCGUGGCCGGCCAGUUCACCUUGAAUAAAUGAGAGUGCUCAAAGCAGGCUACUCUGGAAUACAAUGCCCGAAUGUUAGCUGCAUGGAAUGAUGGAAGAUGAUCUCGGUUCCAUUUUGUUGGUGGUGGGAGCCCGAGGUAAUGAUAAAGAGGGACUGUCGGGGGCAUCCGUACUACGACGCGAGAGGUGAAAUUCAGUGACCGUCGUAGGACGAACAACAGCGAAAGCAUUUGCCAAGAAUGUCUUCGUUGAUCAAGAACGAAAGUUAGAGGAUCGAAGGCGAUCAGAUACCGCCCUAGUUCUAACCCUAAACGAUGCUGACUAGCAAUUCGCCGUCGUUAUUCCCAUGACGUGGCGAGACGCCCCCGGGAAACCUCAAGUCUUUGAGUUCCGGGGGUAGUAUGGUUGCAAAAGUGAAACUUAAAGGAAUUGACGGAAGGGCACCACCAGGAGUGGAGCCUGCGGCUUAAUUUGACUCAACACGGGGAACCUGACCAGGCC